rnacentral:ncRNA from 1 species
CUACAGACUUAAUUGGAUUAAGCUUUGGUAUGGAAAUGUACUAAGUGAUCACUUUCAAAUUCAGAGAAACCCUGGAAUUAACAAAAAUAGGCAAUCCUGAGCCAAAUCCUGUUUCUGAAAACUAAUAAAGGUUCAAACAAAAGAAAAGGAUAGAUGCAGACUCAAUGGAUUUUUCUAAAAUGGAGUUAAAUGUGUUGGUAGAGGAAUCUUAUACAUCGAUCUUCAGAAAGAAAAAGAACCCUUUCUUUAAGUUUUCAAAUG